rnacentral:snoRNA from 1 species
UUGCACUAGGAUGCGAGAGAAUACAAAUCCCUGCCUUUUCUGUCUGUCUUCGUGGCGAGUCCAGAUUCAGUGAGGGAUUACAUAG